UGUGCCUACGGGAGGCAGCAGUGAGGAAUAUUGGUAAAUGGACGAGAGUAUGAACCAGCCAAGUAGCGUGAAGGAUGACUGCCCUAUGGGUUGUAAACUUCUUUUAUAUGGGAAUAAAACGUUCCACGUGUGGGAUUUUGUAUGUACCAUAUGAAUAAGGAUCGGCUAACUCCGUGCCAGCAGCCGCGGUAAUACGGAGGAUCCGAGCGUUAUCCGGAUUUAUUGGGUAUAAAGGGAGCGUAGGUGGAUUGUUAAGUCAGUUGUAAAAGGUUGCGGCUCAACCGUAAUAUUGCAGUAGAAACUGG
rnacentral:rRNA from 1 species